CAGAAUAUGUCGGCGUGCAAUCUACAAGGAAUCCCAAGGGAUAGUGUGGAAAGGGGUGGGGGGGGUGACUGGGAAGGAUCCAGUCUUUCUGACAGUCCCAGCUAUUAUCAAAUAGCAGGGUGGGAGAAAGUGCUGAUGCACUACACAUGCUCAGUCUGCUGCUUGCUGUCUCAUGCAGCUGCUGGUUGCAGUCUGCUCUGAUCGUGUCUCGCUAUCAUGCUACCUUGCCCCUCCACCCCAGCUAUCAGUGAGGAACAGGAGGAGGGAGAACAGAAUGAAACUGGGAAAAUGAAAGUGGAGGAGGAGACUGAUGGCAUAAUGAGCAGACACACAGUGAAAAUCUGUUGAAUGAUUAUUUGAAGAAUAUGUUUUUACCUGUGGAGGAAAAGGAAGGAAAAUGCAUUCUCUGUCCACACAAAUUAAAAGGAGCGUUGAGGCUUCACUUCACCCUCAGCAUCAAUGCACCAAAUGCAUUCUA